UGUCACUGCUGUGCAGUUUAGGCAUCCUGGAGCCAGCUUUACACAAGCUAGCCUGAGAAGUGGUAGCAGUGCAGCCACAGUAAAACGGAGCUCAGUGUGGGUUAAUUGCUAAAAUAUUUGCCCAACUUCUUGAGCAGGUUUUACAACCCCUGCUAAUCUCCUGUUGCAGCUGUAUUUUGACAGCUUGGGUGCUGGCUGCAGACCAGGUUCAGGUCUCUCUUCGAAAAAUCACACACAAUUUAGAAGGUGCUGUGCUUUAGUCCUGGAGCAAAAAGCUGUGAUUUAUAUGUAGCAUGCUGAUUCUUCCCCGAGAGUAAGGAGUCUUUUCCUGGACCUUGCAAGAUGAGAGGCUGACAAAAAGUUUGCAGAUAUAAUUAUUAUCAAAGUAUUCAGGAGAGAAGAAAGGAGACAGGCUGAGCAUGCUGAUAUGGAAAACCAAGAAUCCUUAAGCAGUCAAAGGUACUUGUUUAUUUUGGUGGCUCCUUGGUGAUUGUCCUUUUCACCUUUUAUUAACCUGCAAAUGGAUUAGCCCUCGUAAACUAAAGAGAAGAGACCAGCGCACAACCCACUGCCCCAGAGAUAAGGUCACAAAGAGGGGACGUGUCCCGAGUACAACCUCGGAGAAGAAAUAGAAGUCUGAAGGCAUUUACACUAGGCUGCCAUCGCGCUUUACUAGCCCUACUGUGAUUUACCGUAUCAGUUCAACUGCUGACACCUUUAUGUCCCUCCCUCCUAUCCCAGCAGGCCACAGAGACACAGUCCAUGAUAGAUGCUGGUGAACUUUUCCUCUGAUCACCUUCUGAAGAACUUUCCCAUAAUCUAUUGUUUUCUAUCACAGUGGAAAACAAAACAAGGGGGUUUUUUUGACUUUCAGUUACCAGCUAUUUUGCCCUAACUUUAAAGCAAUGUACUGAAUUUAUUACAUCAGUGUGAAAGAAGUUUUAAACUCUUGUCUCUUUAUCCUACUCCCUGAACUUAACAUGGUCCAGAGUAAAUCAACGUAAUUGCUGUUAGACCUACAUUGUUGCAGGAAUGUUUUAUAUUCCAUGUUGUCAGUUAUUUAGAACAGUUAAUUGAAAUUGCAACCAUAAAGAGAGGAAAGCUACAGUUAAGAAAUUAACUUUUUUUUGGUGCCUGUGGCUACUUGUAUGAAUUAUAUAAAGAGCCAACACUAACUUUAAUGUAAGACCAAAAGUGUCUGGAAUACCUAAAAGGAAAAAUACAUUUGUGGAUUCAAGGCAAGUAUUUCCUUUAAUUGACUGAUAAAAAUAUAAGAGCCCAUUCUGGAUUGAGAGAAGCAGUUGAACUAUCGUUCUUCUCUAUAACUCCAAAAUA